rnacentral:lncRNA from 1 species
CGCCUCGGCUUCGGGGCUGCCCCGGCCCCCUCAGCGCCGGGCGGGAGACGCUGCCCCUCUGCCCCCCGGAUCCUGUGCACCGAAGUCUUCGCGGUGCAGGGCCCGUCCAGAAGCGGGGCUGUUCCUGCUCUGUGGGGGUACGCAAGGCCGGGACAGUACUUUGAGCAGUGGGGGAGAGGAGAGCAGUGCAAGAUAAAGUCAUUUCCAGGUGUAAAUAAACAAAUCUCCCUACGAACAAAGCCAUAUACAACGUCUUGGUAUUUUGAGCUGGAGAGGCUGGCUGGAAGAGGAGAACCUACUGGUAGACAGAGCAAGGCAGGCAUUCCCAAAGGGCUAGCUAUACUUCAGUAUGGAGUGAGAUUUUGGAAAAUAGUUCCACAAAUUAAUGCUCACAUCUCACCACUUCAGAAGAGAAGAUCAACUUUUCUACUUCUAAUGAAAGUCACAGUUGGAGAUGGGCCAGCAACUCCUUUGAAGAACCUCAACUAAUGUGAGCAUGUAAAGUCCCUGUUGUGAAAAGUGAAUGGAGAUAACAGAGCAGGAUAAUCCCUGAAAUACUUCAGAAAAAAAAAAUGCCUUCCUCAGCUGUGUCUCAUUAAUAACCAAAUUUAAAUUAAUAGAACAUAAUUUGUCAUGUUUGGCAAACUGAACAUCAAUACUGCUAGAAAGAGAACAUGCAACUGGUCACUGCUAUGCAAAUCUUUCCUACAGUUCAUGAACCUCCCCACUUCUACUAAGGACCAGACAUCACUAUCAUUUAUUAUUUCAGAAUGGAGUUGUACCUGCUCUGCACUAGUAUGUGAAUUAAAUCAAAACUAAACAAAACAAAUCAGCUCACCAACAUUAACUGGAAGGGCUUGUGGUCACCCAAGUAACAGAAGUUCAUAACAUGCUUUAACUAUGACAGGAAUUCCUCCAAUUCUUCAAGGAUGACUUAAUACCAAUUAGCUCACAUAACAAAGAAAACUGGCAAUCACCAUUGCCCCACUUGCAAGGAAGUUGUUUCACCCAAAGUAGAAAAUGCUAUAGGAAUCCAAAAAGACAAGAGGAGUUUGAAUCCUCCAGGCACUUCAUGCUUUACCAAUAUUUUCCACAAAAGCAUAAGCAACAUCUACUGUACAGUAAUAUUUAACAUUCAGGAGAAUCACAGUCUUUUCUAAAGUGUGAUCAGAAAGAGGCACCUUCAUAGUCUGUCACUGUGUUCCUCAUAACAAAGGAAGCUUUGUUUCGUGAAGAAAUAUCUUGUACUAAAAUAUUGUAGGGAAACUGUGGUUGUUUUUGUUUUCUAAACAAAGAGGAGAAUGUUCAAGUUUGAGGUUCCCUUUAAGCACUCUUCUAACACGAAUAUGUUUAAAGAUCCUCUAUCAAGUUCAUGCGUGAAAUGUCUUCCAGCCG